UACGAAGGGGGCUAGCGUUGUUCGGAAUUACUGGGCGUAAAGCGCGCGUAGGCGGACCAUCAAGUCGGAGGUGAAAUCCCGAAGCUUAACUUCGGAACUGCCUUCGAUACUGUUGGUCUUGAGGUCGGGAGAGGUGAGUGGAACUGCGAGUGUAGCGGUGAAAUGCGCAGAUAUUGGGAAGAACACCAGUGGCGAAGGCGGUUCUCUGGGACGGUACUGACGCUGAGACGCGAAAGCGUGGGGAGCGAACAGG
rnacentral:rRNA from 1 species